GAUGAACGCUGACCGCAUGCUUAACACAUGCAAGUCAACUGUGGCGGACGGGUGAGUAACGCGUAAAGAACUUGCCUCACGGAUAGGGACAACAUUUGGAAACGAAUGCUAAUACCUGAUACUGUGAGAGCGCUUUGCGUCCCAUUAGCUAGUUGGAGAGGUAACGGCUCACCAAGGCGAUGCUGGGUAGCCGGCCUGAGAGGGUGAUCGGCCACAAGGGGACGGAGAAACGGCCCGUACGCCUACGGGAGGAAGCGGGGGGGAAUAUUGGACAAUGGACCAAAGUCUGAUCCAGCAAUUCUGUGUGCAAGAUGAAGUUUUCGGAAUGUAAAGUGCUUUCAGUUGGGAAGCGGUACCAACAGAAGAAGUGACGGCUAAAUACGUGCCAGCAGCCGCGGUAAUUC
rnacentral:rRNA from 1 species